UUUCUUUCAUUUAUCAUGUUUGUAACCAAUGACUGUUUCAAAUGCAUACAGGGUUAAAGGUAUUAAAAGGGGACAAAUGCACAAGUGUGUGAAAUAAUGAUGCGGGCCUUCUCCGGUUAGGAGGGACUCCCGAGAUUCAUUAAUGAUCCUUCCGCAGGUUCACCUACGAAAA
rnacentral:misc_RNA from 1 species